rnacentral:rRNA from 1 species
AGCGAACAAGUACCGCGAGGGAAAGAUGAAAAGAACUUUGAAAAAAGAGUCAAAGAGUGCUUGAAAUUGUCGGGAGGGAAGCGGAUGGGGGUCGGCGAUGCGUCCCGGUCGGAUGUGGAACGGCGACGAGCCGGUCCGCCGAUCGACUCGGGGCGUGGACCAGCACGAAUUGAGGCGGCGGCCAAAGCCCGGGCAGUCGAUAUGCCCGUGGAAUGCCGUCGCCCCGAUUGUGGCGGACAGCGCGCGCCCUCGGCGUGCCUCGGCAUCUGCGCGCUCCCGGUGCUGGCCUGCGGGCUCCCCAUUCGACCCGUCUUGGAACACGGACCAAGGAGUCUAACAUGUGUGCGAGUUUUUGGGUGGCAAACCCAUGAGCGUAAUGAAAGUGAAUGCAGGUGGGAUCCGCAAGGAGCACCAUCGACCGACCAUGUCCCUUCGGGGUAAAGGUUUGAGUGUGAGCAUUUAUGUUGGGACCCGAAAGAUGGUGAACUAUGCCUGAAUAGGGCGAAGCCAGGGGAAACUCUGGUGGAGGCUCGUAGCGGUUCUGACGUGCAAAUCGAUCGUCGAAUCUGGGCAUGGGGGCGAAAGACUAAUCGAGCCAUCUGGUAGCUGGUUCCUGCCGAAGUUUCCCUCAGGAUAGCAGUAACGUUUUCAGUUUUAUGAGGUAAAGCGAAUGAUUAGGGACUCGGGGGCGCUUUUUAGCCUUCAUCCAUUCUCAAACUUUAAAUAUGUAAGAAGUCCUUGUUACUUAAUUGAACGUGGACAUGCGAAUGAGAGUUUCUAGUGGGCCAUUUUUGGUAAGC